AUUCAGUACCACAUACGAAAGUGACCCAGAUCGGAUUUGAAAAUAUCGGAUUUGUGCCGUUCACACUGUCAUACCAUGAUCGGAUAUGGGUCGCAUAGGGUCAGAAAAGUCGGAUUUGAUGCGCUUUCGCCUGCAGUGUGAACGUAGCCAAAAUGUGGCUACAAAUGCGUCCUACUCUGCCCCGAAUUUUAAGGAUGGGUCCGAUCUAUCCUUCGUGUCCUACCAUAUCCCAGGAUUCAUUGCGGUUCAUAGAGGAGAUUUGUUUCUGAUAACGAUGGUGGUCGAAGCAGGAGAGGAAAACGCCUUCAAAUGACAAUUUUGGAGAGGAUGGGCCUGCAGGGGAAAGUCACCCCCUUGCAGGCCAGAAGACAUGAGAUAACUUUAAAGAAUACAAAGAUUGCAAGUAUCCAAGCUCAGGAGAGGGAGUCAGUGGGAAGCCCACUGCUGCUACUUGGCCCUGGUUUGCCCUCAUGGAUGAGGUGAUAGGACAGAUGCCUUCCAUUAAGCCUCCUGUCCUAAUUUCCUCUCUCCCUGAGGACACUCCAGGGCCAAGCGCAGCAGUGGGUGACCAAAACGACAGCGAUGACGAAGCAGCUCAGCCACCUACGACAGGGAGAAAGAGGAAAGGAGAUGAUGAGCUGCUAGACCUCAUCAGAGAGGACAUGAGGCAGCAAAGAGAGGCUGAGUGGCUGCCACACCACUAAGAUGUUUUCAGAAAUAUGCAAGCAGGAGAUGGUGGAUGCUAUAUUAUUAGUAUAAUACUUGUAACUCUGUAGCAGACAACAGUUUGAUAAAGUGCUAUCUAAAAAACAAACACAAGAUUAGAUUCUAUACGUUUCAAAGAUAUUUAGUUUAUAUAUUUUAUAUGAUACAGUACAUGUGUGAGAAUGACCGAUAUUGUGCCAAAAAACGAUCGUCUGCCAAAAACUGAUUUCCGGUUUUUGCCCUAAACUGAUUGCUCGUAUUUAACCUGCUAUAAAUAACUUGUUGGUCUAUAAUACGUGAAACAUGUCAAAUGUUUCCCUCAUUAGUGAUAUCAAGUCACUUUGAG
ensembl:lncRNA